GCUGAAUACGUUUAACUUCUACGUUCAGUUCAAUGCCGACCAUGAGUGUAAUAGCACAUUUAUGCCUUUUCUUCCUGAUUUUACUCGGAUUCACUCAUGCUGCUCCCAAAUACAACAUUUUCUUCGCCUUGAGACAAUCAGAUGAUUUUUCCAGUGAAGACAUAUCCAAUAUCUUCAGUGACAUUGGAUAUGAAGGUGAAAGUGGCAUACCAGGUCAUUGAGUUAUUUCUUCAUUCUUGUUCUUGGAUUGCUUUCUUCGCCAUUCUGGCUGCCGCCUUUGCUGUUCCUGCUCCAAACCCCAAGCCUGACCCUCUCACUUUGAUUCAACCAGCAGCAUAUUCCGCCUACACACCCAUUUCAUCCUACUCGAACUUGGGAUACAACUACCUUCCAUAUGCUUACAACUACAACUACUAUGGAUCACCAUUGGCGUACAGGAAUCUUUACUACUAGGAGAAGAAUUGCUCAAGAGAACAUGGACUGCGACUGAUACAGAUAUAAGCAAAUUUCCCUUUUGAUAGAAUUUUACAUAAAUUUAGUUCGGUUGGGUGAAUAAAAAAUCAUACAAAAUCA